UGGGGAAUCUUGCGCAAUGGGCGAAAGCCUGACGCAGCGACGCCGCGUGAGUGAUGAAGGCCUUCGGGUUGUAAAGCUCUGUGGGGAGAGACGAAUAAGUGCGGGCUAAUACUCCGCAUGAUGACGGUAUCUCCUUAGCAAGCACCGGCUAACUCUGUGCCAGCAGCCGCGGUAAGACAGAGGGUGCAAACGUUGUUCGGAAUUACUGGGCGUAAAGCGAGUGUAGGCGGUUUCGUAAGUCGGAUGUGAA
rnacentral:rRNA from 1 species